ensembl:snRNA
GUAUUGUAUAAAAGGUGAGAAGGUUAGCAUUCCCCUUGACAAGA